GAGUGUCAGAGAGAGGGAGAGACAGAUAGAGAUCUUUUGUCUACUACUCACUCCCCAAAUACCUGCAACAGCCAGGGGCGGGCCACGCUGAAGCCAAGAGUGGGGAACUCCAUCUGAGUCUGCCACGUGGGUGGCAGAGACUCAAGUGCCUGCACCAUCAUCUGCUGCCUCCCAGGAUGUGCAUCAGCAGGAAUCUGGCUGAGAAAUGGAGCUGGCUGAGGGAGAGACUCUUUUCCAGGUGGAAGAUGAUGUGAAGGGACAGAGGGAAGGUGAGCAAACCAUCAGGAGAAAAUUAUUAUUUACCGCUUUGAAGAAAACAUUUUGAAGUCAGGAAGCAUCAGCAAUGUGAGUGUGUAGGACCGUAUGAAAGUUUGUGAAGACUUUCUGUGCAAUUCCAGUGGCCUAAAAUGGCUGAUCACAGGUGCACCCUGUAGCCACCCCAUGCCUCACUGGAUUGAGCAGUAAAAUUAGACUCCAGUUACCACCCAUAACGGUCAGUCUUUGUUUAGUACUAGGAGCUAGGUCUUUGCAGCCAUCAGCUCAUUUAAUCCUUACAGCAAAACUAGAGAAGUAUUUUGUUACUAUGAUUGCUAUUUUACUGGUGAGAAUAUCGAAGCCCAGAAAGAUUAAGCAAUUUACUUAGUGUUGCACAGCUACAACAAAACAGAGAGCUGGAAUCUUAGCCCAGCCAUAGGGUUGUGUGAAGAAAGAAGGCAGAUAACUACCACUACUGAGUGUUGAGUAUGUGUCUGGUCCUGUGUGCUUCAGUGUGUUCCAUUUCAUUGUCAUGACCCUGUCAGCUUAUCUUCCAGGCCAAGAAACCAAGACUCGGCUAGGAUUGGGGAAUUUUCCCAAGGUUAUGGAUGCCUGUCCGACUCCAAAGUCUAUACAAACUAGUAACUCAUUAAACCCUUUAAACUACCAAGUGGGGUACUGGUCUUCCUUCUUCAUUAAUUACCUUUCCUGUCCUGAAUUCUUUCCCUCUGAUAUUUUUCUCUCAUUCUUUGUGCGUUUAUGAUACACAGCUCAGUAAUGUGCAUUUUAUAAAAACUUAGUGACAUCUUCAGAGCCCAGACCAUGAGUUGGGCGUUGUGCUAAGCUGUUUUCCAGGAAUUAUCUUAUGUACCCCUCCCAGCAGCCCAGUGUCAUAGGUAUGAUUAUUAAUCCUUUUCCUUUUUUAGCCUACGGAGUGACUGGAGUUGCAGAGACCCUCUUGGCAGUACUUGGGUGAAGAGUCUGCUGACUGAAUUCCCCAGAGACAGAAUAGACCAUCUGAUAGCCUCGUCACCUUCCCCUACACUGAGAACGAAUGAACCCAGAAGCCGGAUUCUUUUAAUUGUUGUACAUUACACAAGACGCGCAAUCCUAUUUUAAAAGAGGUUUCUUUCGGGAAGCAGGGUGGUUUGGAGUUGUCUUCUUUGUGGUGUGCUUCUUGAAAAGAUCUGGGAGGCUAAUCUGGUUAAUUCUGGACGCUUCCUCCUGCCCUCGCUUUCUCUCGCUCAGUCUUCCGGUCUCAGCACAGGCACCGUGAGUGUGUGUGGAGCGAAGGGACGACAGGGUGUCGGGCUCUGGGAAACUCAUUUGCAUACUUGUUGUUGCAGGGCUGACCGCAUCCUGGUGAAGACAAUGUGCUGUCUGAUAAACAGACUGCCUGCCCCAGUGUCUGUCUGGAGUGGGGCCAGCGUGCGGCCCGCCUUUGUCACAAGGUGCUGUUUAUCCUGCCUGGAAGUCCAGGGACGGGACAAACCAGCUAGCUGAAGCUUUUAUUUCUCCCGUUCUCUGGCAGGAAUUCCUCAGGUCAAAAACAUGUGUUCAUAGUAGAUUAAGGGUGGGAAGCAUCAGAAUUCUCCAAAGCAGCUCGCCUCACCCCGCGGAACGCGCCUUGUGCUGUUUUUAUCUUCCUCUGGAGCUGUGAAUUCCUCGGGCUUCGGAGAAAUGAGGAAACUUGGAAAAUGUAGUGCAUGAGCAAUAGAAAGAGUCAGGCUUGCCAAGACCUUCCGUUGAUAAGUAUUUAUUUCCACAUCUGUUUUCUGUGUCCCCUUUCUCUUUUCCUUCUCCCUCCUCACCCCACACCCACAGACAAAAAUGGAGGCUUACACAAUUAACUGGGGACUGAAGGGCUUGCUGUUUAAGGAUCUGGAUAACUGAGUCCCAGUUUCUCCAUUCUCACUACAAUUUGGUAAAUCAAAGACAAGAGGCAGAAAGAUUUUGUGGGUCGGUUUCAUUUAUGACCAUUUAGGUAAGAAUUUCGUCUCUGCUUCCUUUUUAUUGUUGUUUUUUUUUCUAGGACUCCCCUCAAGACAGAGCUCUGCUGAAAGAUUUUCCAGUCUAAUAUGGUCCAUAUUCUAAGACCUAUUCUAACCAUAGAUUGUUUUCUUUUUUGGUUGCUGUAAUCACCAUGCAGAAGUUACUCUGUGACCAAGAAAUUGUUUUACUAUUUUUAAUCAAUAAUUCCUAUGAACAGAUUUUGUCGCUAGGGGAGAGAAAAUGUGCCACUGUUUCCUUCCUGCAUUGGCAGAGACCUCCGAAGUCUGUUUUGGCCACUCGUGUGUCUGACCCCACCUGAGUCGUGAAGAUAUUCAAUGCAGUCCUGACUGGAGUCCUACUUGGAGGAUGAUGAUAAAGGAGGAUGCUCCAGGACAGUUUGGAAAAGAUGCCCAUCAGCGUUUUGAAGGAUUACCAGCAUUUCUGUUAGAGACUGUGAACAGAUUUCUGCCUGCUAAAGAGCAAUAAUAUGGUAGAGAUGGAUUAUUUUGAGGUUUGGAAGUAAAAUACUUGCAUGUGGCAAAUACUGGGGUUUGUUGUGAAAAUUAGACCUCUGUAGACUCCCUGAGAAUGGCCUAUGCAGGAAACAGGUACCCCCUGCUCACAGCUGCUGCUGUGGAGCCCAAGUCCUAUACCAGCCUUGGUAAAUUCCAAGUCUUGAGGACUAGUAUGUGUGUUGUCAAAAAGGGAAAAAAAAUAUUCAUUAAAGUUGAGUGGUCUUUCCCAAUCGGGAAAAGCUGGCAUUACCUGGCAGAUGGUGGAGGCGCAGCUGGAGGAGAAGGACUGAAUCAAGCUGGUGGUGGUUAUGGGUCUUGUCCCCAAGCCAGGGUUUGUGCUAGAGCUUAAUCUCAUGACCGCGUUUGUUAGGGUAUGAUUCUAGCAGCACGUUUCUUCACGUGCUCUAGAAGAGCAGAUGUAAGGAGCCUGCCCCCGUCGGAUUAUGUUCACCCUGCUUCUCCAGUCUCUCACCUUCCACUGUCCUCUGCCCUAGUGCAUUUUGAUGAAACGUGUCACACACGCUCUUUUCUAAUCUGGUAUUUAAAAGAAGUAGAGCGGGGAUGGCAAUUAGCCUAGCAGUCAACACACCUGUGUCCCACAUCAGAGUACUUGUGUUUGGUGCCUAGCAGGUGUUUGGCUCCUGUUUCCAGUGUCCUGCUAAUGCACAUUCUGGGAGGUAGUGGUGAUUGUGCAGGUAGCUGGGUUUCCACCGUCCUUCUGGGAAACCUGGAUUGAGCUCCUGGCUCCUGGCUGUGUCCUGGGCCGAGCUCUGCUUUCCCAGGAAACCCCAGCUAUCUCUUGAUUAUCUAAGAGAUUUCAGCCUGGCUAGUUCUUGGUGAUUUCACAACUCCUAAGGGUCGCCCCUAGUGGGUGGAAAAGGGUAGUCAAAGCUGAAACCCAAACCAGUGUAUUUUGCCAUCUGGUUAGAGUUUUGGCAAAUAACUGGAUCAGAGAAGGGAGCUGAAGUUGUACAGUUUCCAUAGUUUCCAAGUUGGGGUGUUUGGAGAUAGGAGGUGCUAGGGUGUGUCUUCAGACCCAGGGCUUGUCUCUGUCAUUAGAGACAGUGACAGGAAAGCCAUAGAUCUUUCCUAUAUUGGAAAAAAAAUGGCUGAUCAGACUUACAGAUGUGUUUAUUUCUGGAAUACCAUGGGUGGUAUCUAUCUGCCCACCACCCAUGUGUCUCUAUAAGGCAGAAGGUGGUGUUAGGGUUGCUUUCAUCCCAAGCUCUUUGACAUCAGGACAACAAAUGUAUGCGGUUUCAGUUUGUCAUUCUAUUUUAACUGCAUUUUUUUCCUUCCUCCUUUUUUAUGGGGUAGUUUAAGGUUUAGAUUUUCUUUUUACCACUGAGUCUAACUUAAUUGUGGUUAUUUUAUUUUAUUUUUUUGUGUAAGUGCCCAGAGCUUUCUGGGUUAUUGGUAAACUUAAAAAAAUAUACCACAGUGCAUGUAAACAUAUAUAAUUUAAGAACCAGUAAUGACUGGGGCCUGUGAUAACCUUUGGAAAAUUCUUACUUGGAAGCAGUUCUAAUUAGCAAGAUAUUUUCUGGUUUCCUCCUUGCAUGCUCUGUUAAUAACAACGAUGUUAGUUGGAGAAAA